rnacentral:rRNA from 1 species
GAUGAACGCUAGCGGCAGGCUUAACACAUGCAAGUCGAGGGGUAAGGUAGCAAUAUCUGAGACCGGCGCACGGGUGCGUAACGCGUAUGCAACCUACCUUUUACAGGGGAAUAGCCCAGAGAAAUUUGGAUUAAUGCCCCCUGGUAUAAUUGAAUCGCAUGGUUUAAUUAUUAAAGUUCCAACGGUAAAAGAUGGGCAUGCGUCCUAUUAGCUAGAUGGUAAGGUAACGGCUUACCAUGGCUACGAUAGGUAGGGGUCCUGAGAGGGAGAUCCCCCACACUGGUACUGAGACACGGACCAGACUCCUACGGGAGGCAGCAGGGAGGAAUAUUGGACAAUGGGCGCAAGCCUGAUCCAGCCAUGCCGCGUGCAGGAAGACGCAUCUAUGGUGUGUAAACUGCUUUUGUACAGGAAGAAACAUCCCGACGUGUCGGGACUGGACGGUACUGUAAGAAUAAGGAUCGGCUAACUCCGUGCCAGCAGCCGC